UUCUAUCUCCUUUCUCUUUCCAAAGUUCUGCUCUGUUCUGUUCUUACCCUUUGAAGACGUUCCCCUCUCUGUGGAUAUUGCCGAAGAAACUCCAAUUGACUUUACUUAUUUUAGCGUGAGCCGAUAGAUAGUGAAUACUUUUCUUCUGUAGAUGAUUGGAGAGUUGUGAAGGCCAGGUCUUAGCAUAUAAGAUAGAUAGUGAAUACUUUUCUUCUGUAGAUGAUUGGAGAGUUGUGAAGGCCAGGUCUUAGCAUAUAAGUGCAACCCCCAUGUGUUUCACUGAAAAUGCACGAUAAGAAAUGUAUCAACUUUGGCAACUAUUCUGAAUGUUUUUUUGAAGGUGGCUAAGAUAGAUUGCGGUUCUGUGAUUCUGAAGGUUAAAACUGGUGAUGGAGGUUAUAAAUUAUGAUGGAGGUUAUAACUAAUGGUGGAAGUUAUAACUAAUGUUGGAGGUUAUAACUGGUGAAGGAGUUUAUAACUGGUGAUGGAGGUUAUAACUGGUGAUGGAGGUUAUAAAUUAGGAUGGAGGUUAUAACUUGUGAUAGAGGUUAUAAAUUAUGAUGGAGGUUAUAAUGCAUUAUGUGUAAAAAUGCAUAUUGGCUCAAUGCAUGCUAUGUCUGUUUGCAGAGAUAGCAUUGGAUGAAAUAUUCAUUGUGUGUUUGCAGAGCAGAGCAGGCAUAUUCAUAGCAUUACCCAACCAGUCCCUCUAUAUUCAUCUCACUGCAACAAGAUAAAUCAGUUAUUUAGCAUGCAACGCUGGAUAGAAAUGCAUUUACUGGUGAUGCAAUGCAACCCUACAGAGUAAGACUUCUUUAACCUGUUUACCCUACAGCAGUGGGGGAGGUUUGUGUGGGCCUGGAAAAUUACCGUAUAUGAAUUGAAGUUAUCACAUAAUAUAUGUAUAUAUGAGUUCCAACUGGAGGCAGGCCCCAUUUUCUCAUCAUGGCAGGUUUGCUUGCUACAGUAUCUGGUCAGCUUUAUUACAUUGGAAUACAUGUCACUGUGUGCGUGUCACAAUGAACAUAUACAAUUGAUGUAUGUAUGUAUGUUAGGGAUGUACAGUAUGCAGGUAGUAGGUUAGAGAGAGGAAACAUUAGGUUUACAUCUCAACCUCUUUCUGAGCAAACCUGUGUUUCAUAGUGCAGUGAGAGUGAACUUUCAGUGUGUGUGUG